AUGCAAACAGACUGCAAGGCUUCAGGAUGUGGGGAGAGACUGACAGCCCAUGCAAACCGUGAGCCUUCCACAGCACAGCACCACAUGCAUGGCUCACACACACACACCAAGCACAGUCCCUCUGCAGCUACACUGGUCCUCAGGGACUUCUCUGAAGUGCUGUCCCCAUGGUGUGCAAAGCAAACCUUUCAGAAGAUGGGCUGGUUUUUUUUGCAGGUGUGGUGGGCAAUGACCACUGGGCUACGCGAUGCCAGCACUGCCCUUGCAUGCCUCUUUCUGACUGCCAUCAUUCUUCUGCUUUAUACUUGUGCUUGACGUUAUUUUCCUCCAUUGUAUUUCAUUUUCCGUUUGUGGAAACGCACUUGCAUCAACACGGCAAUUGCCAUGAAAAAAGGACUGCCUCAUCUCAGCUGCAACUUUGAACAAGGUGAGAACGGAUUCACUUUUUCAGGGAGGGAAAAUGCGACCUAAAAAAACCCCCAGAAAUAGUAACAACAACAACAAAAAACCUUUUCUUAUAUAGCAAAACCUCUGUGAACGUUUGAAGUUUCAACAGCUUGACUAAAAGCAGUACAGCAAGAGACUCAGAAUGAUUUAUAAAACCAGCCCUAUGCCUUGGCCGGGCCAGAUUUUACCGUGGUUUCUGGUGUUCAUUAGCAUCUCAUUGCACAUGUCGUCCCAUUGAUCCCAGUGGAACAAGCCCACACAAUAGAGUUCUAUUCAGGAGUGGUGAAGGCAGCCCCUACGCCCAUCCCCAAACACUGAGACAUGGCAAAGGUUUGUGAAUAGACUGCAGAUAAUUUUUGUUGUGUCUUCUAGAAUUUGUACUAGCCUAUUAACUACCCAUAAAUAUUUGCCCGAGACACGCAUUGUUUAAAAUUGAGAUACAAAAUGAGACAAGGAUUUUUUUCUUUCUCCUUAAAGAGUCAUCCAUGCUCCCUAAUGUCUAUUGGGAGAGAUUUUCAAUAAUUUCUAUGGCUUUAUUUGUUUUCGCUAUAGAUGUUAAAAAUGAAUCUUACGCUUGUUUCCAAGACACCAAAACAUUUCAAUCUUUAGUCUUUGUAACACCAAGUUUCCAUUCGGGCCUAAGAGGACUUUCAUCAGCUGAGAAGCUUUUAACAAACAGUGGUUCAUCUGGGGUGUGUGAUGGGGAGCACAGAGGCGGGGGGGAGCCUCUCAUGUAUUCUCUGUCUUCUGCUUUGCAUGUAGCUGAUAUUUAAAUGGCCUGCGUGGCUUCAAGGUGAACUCAGUAAGCAGCGACCACCUGCAAAAGCAGUGAGGGAAAGGGGUCUUAAAAGCCAAUGGGUGCAUUUCUGUAACAAGUGUGAGCGGAUGGAGGGAGUUCGUGGUGAUGUGAGUGCAGAGGACUGUAAGAGAUGUGGGAGGCAGGCAAGAAAGACAAAGAAACUUGUCUAUUUUCAACGGUAGUAUUUUAAAUAUGAACAUGAGCUGAAGAGAAAAUAAAUUCAGGCUGCUGAGCGGUGUUAUUAUCA
rnacentral:lncRNA from 1 species